UUGUAAGUGCCCGCGUUAGCUUAUGUCUUGUUGGUAUAUUAAUAUACUUGUUGCGAUUUAAUCUCCUUUUGGGUCCUUUCAGUUUUGCACAUGGAAGAAGAAGGUCGUUUGCAAAUAGAUGCGAGGGUUGAGUUUGCUUCUUAUCGAAGGAAUCCUCGAUUGUUUAUACUUGCUGAUGUUUAAUGUAUGGACUUAAUUAUUCUAUGCGCAUUUAGAUAUUGUGAGAGAAUACUUAAAUAGUAUUUUGAGAUUUUUGUUGAGUGAUUUAAAUCUGUAAGUCAUGCAGUUUAUAUAGCAGGGAGGUAGGCUUGUAUUAUUUGCUUAUUUUUAAUAUAGUUGUAUUUAUUGUACGGAUAUAUCUGUGUAAUUACCGAAGGAUUUAAACAUUAAAUUGAUUAAUAGCUUUUCUAUUAUACUUUGCAGUUAUCAUAAUGACUAUUUGUUUUGUGACCUGCUACAAUUUAAUCCUGGAGUGAUGAGGUGUUUAUUUGUGUGUUACUGGAAGGUGUACACUUAAACGAGAGGUAAAAGAGCAGGUCGAUAUCCGAAGGUAAUAUGCAUUAUUAAAUUGGUAAUAUGUCUUGCAAAUUUAUGUAGGUAAUUAUGUGGUUUCCCAUGCGAAUUUUGAUAACAAUGCAUUCCUUUGUAAUGCAGGGUUAAAAAUAGACAUGUGUAAACAUCACUGCUAGCAGUGUAGCAGACGAUUUCUGUAUACAAGUGGCGAGUUAUUCAUGAAUCUGUUAAACUAUAUAUGUAGUACAAUAAACACGUGGAAGAGUCUAUUAUUCAUGAUACCUGCUUACAAACAGAGUAGGGUUUAAGCAAUUUUAUCAGAUUUAAUCUCGCUGAAAAGUAUUUUCUUCUAAAGUGAAGUAAUUAAACUUCCAUUUCACAUAUAUAUUAAGCAAAGUUAAAUUUUCAUGAGCACGGAUCAAGUAAUUAAGUGCGCAUGUGUGAGGAAAAUAAGUAGUUUCACUUUUCAAUAUACCACCGUUUCAUGCAGUAUGUUUGUUUUUAGUCCUGAUGGCUAAUGUUUAUGGUUUGUAUAGAAGAAUAUUGUUAAUAAAACAAUCAAAUGAAUAAAUAUAAAACAAGUUGGCUUCCUACAAAAAAAAAAAAUGUCGUUAUAACUUAUUGUCAUUUGUAGGAUGACUGUUUUUCAGAUCUUAAUCUAUAGUUAGCCUUUCAGAUCAUAAUCUAUAGUUAGCCCAAUUGCUAAUGUCUGAUUGUAUCAGCCGGUACUGCCUUAGGAAAAAGAGUGCCAUCCUUAUCCUUUGUAUUGGUUUGUAACUGGAUUUUGAAUUUAUGAUUACUGCUUAGGGAUGAAGAGAAAGUUGCUAUUAUCUCCAUUGUGUUGGAUGGUAUUUGAUUUUGAAUUUAUGAUUAAUGUAUAUUGACUGUGUUCCGCCCAUUUGGCUAUAUGUUCGAUCGUUUCUAAUAAAAAAAUGAGAAAGUUAAGAAAGUUGCUGUUACCUCCAUUGUGUUGAAUGGUACUUGAUUUUGAAUUUAUGAUUAAUGUGUAUCGACUGUUUCGCCCAUUUGGCUACGUUCGAUCGUUUGUAAUAAAAAAAUGAGAAAGUUAAGAAAGUUGCUGUUAUCUCCAUUGUGUUGAAUGGUACUUGAUUUUGAAUUUAUGAUUAAUGUGUAUCGACUGUUCCGCCCAUUUGGCUAUGUUCGAUCAUUUCUAAUAAAAAAGAGAAAGUUAAGAAAGUUGCUGUUUUCUCCGUUGUGUUGGAUGGUACUUGAUUUUGAAUUUAUGAUUAAUGUAUAUUUACUGUGUUCCGCCAAUUUGGCUAUGUUCGAUCAUUUCUAAUAAAAAAAAAGGAGAAAGUUAAGAAAAUUGCUAUUAUCUCUUUUGUGUUGGAUGGUACUUGAUUUUGAAUUCAUGAUUAAUGUAUAAUGAUUGUGUUUCGCCCAUUUGGCUAUGUCUGAUCAUUUCAAAAAAAAAAAAAAUGGUUGCCAAGUAUAUCCAUUGUGUUGGAUGGUAACCGGAUUUUGAAUGUAUGAUUAAUGUAUAUUGAUGAACUCUGUUUAGCCCAUUUGGCUGUGUUCGAUCAUUUAAAAAAAAAAAAAAAAAAAAAAAAUAGGUUGCCCAUUAUAUCCAUUGUGUUGGAUGGUAACCAAAUUUUUUGAUUUUUUAUUAUUGUACAUUAAGUGAUUAAUGUAUAUUGAUGAACUCUGUUUAGCCCAUUUGGCUGUGUUCGAUCAUUUCAAAAAAAAAAAAAAAAAAAAAAAAAAUAGGUUGCCAAGUAUAUCCAUUGUGUUGGAUGGUAACCGGAUUUUGAAUCUAUGAUUAAUGUAUAAUGAUGAACUCUGUUUAGCCCAUUUGGCUAUGUUCGAUCAUUAAAAGAAAAAAAAAAAAAAAAAGAUUGCCCAUUAUAUUCAUUGUGUUGGAUGGUAACCGGAUUUUGAUUCUAUGGUUAAUGUACAUUGAUGAACUGUGUUUAGCCCAUUUGGCUAUGUUCAAUCAUUUUUUUAAAAAGGUUUUGGAUUAUGUGCAUUGUGCUGGAUUGUAACCAGAUAUUGAAUUUAUGAUUAUUUUACAUCGAUGAACUGUGUUUAGCCCAUUUGGCUAUGUUCGAUCAUUUCAAAAAAAAAAAAAAAAAAAAAAAAAGUUUGCCGAUUUUAUCCAUUGUGUUGGAUGGUAACCAGAUAUUGAAUUUAUGAUUAUUUUACAUCGAUGAACUGUGUUUAGCCCAUUUGGCUAUGUUCGAUCAUUUAAUAAUAAUAAUAAAAAAAAUAUAUAUAAAAAAAUAGGUUGCCGAUUAUAUCCCUUUUGUUGGAUGGUAACCGGAUUUUGAUUCUAUGGUUAAUGUACAUUGAUGAACUGUGUUUAGCCCAUUUGGCUAUGUUCAAUCAUUUUUUAAAAAAGGUUUCGGAUUAUAUGCAUUGUGUUGGAUUGUAAUCGGAUUUUGAAUUUAUGAUUAAUGUAUUUUGAUGAACUUAUUUUAGCCGAUUAUAUCCAUUGUGUUGGAUGGUAACCGGAUUUUGAAUUUAUGAUAAAUGUAUAUUGAUGAACUGUGUUUAGCCCAUUUGGCUAUGUUCAAUCAUAAAAGAAUAGGUUGCCGAUUAUAUCCAUUGUGUUUGAUGGUAACCGGAUUUUGAAUUUAACAUUAAUGUACAUUGAGGAACUGUGUUUAGCCCAUUUGACUCUGUUCUAUCAUUAACAAAAUGGUUGCCGAUUAUAUAAUUUGUGUUUGGUGGUAAACGGAUGGUUGCCGAUUAUAUACUUUGUGUUGGGAUGGUAAUCGGAUUUUUAAUUUAUGAUUAAUGUAUAUUGAUGAACUGUGUUUGCCCAUUUGGCUAUGUUCUAUCAUAAAAGAGAGAGUUGCUCAUUAUAUUCAUUGUGUUGUAUGGUCAUUAGAUUUUGAAUUCAUGACUAAUGUAUAUUGAUGAACUUAUUUUAGCCCAUUUGUUAAAUGAUUGACCAUUUCAGUCUUAUUGUCUGAAUGCCCACUAUAGACAUUGUGUAUGCUGGUGACAUGAUUUCGAAUUGAUGUGCUGCCAAAUUGCAAAUUUGUCAUAUUUUCCUUUCUAUCUCAAAGUUUAUAACGGGCUAGAGACAAAAUUUACAUAUAUUAAUAUGCUUUUUGCCAAAUUUUCAAGUAUACAAUUGAAUAUUUCUAGACAACGUCAAAAACCCAAGAAGUUCCGCAACACAGUCCAGAUGGUACAGCCACACCGCAACGCUACCCAGCCGUUUCAGCCCCGCAACCGGUUAAUCUGAACCCGCACCAACUUGUGGUUGUGGUGAGCCUUGUUGUAGAAUACCAUUGUUCCGUGUUUGCGCAGCGAAGGGGCAUUUUGGCUGAUGAUUCGCUGCACUGUCAGACAGUGUUGAAUAAAAUGGCAUUACAGUUUUCAGCAGUAAUUUCCCUGACCAUUUUGAUUUUUAAGGAUAUGUGAGCUUGUACACACGAACUCAAACUCCUCGAAUAUAAGUGCUAAAGGUCACGCAUUAUGUGAGGGAGACGUUAGUAUUGUAAGUAUUGGUGUACUUCGCAUAAUUCUUCAUUCAUCAAAGGACGAUCAGAAAAAAGGCGAAGGAGUAGCUAUUAUUUACAACCUUACACAUUGUUCUACUUGACCCCUGGAUUUAAUAGAGAGUUAUAUGGUUGUUCGACCAUCUAGUGCUUCAAACUAGUUAUUUGUUUGUUUAUUUAAACGGUCUACCCGUCAUACGCUGUCAGUUUAGUGUGUUCUAAAGAAAUCUUUGACUGCCAUUCCAUAUAAACCACAUUUAUUUAGAGUAGGUGCUGCAACAGCAGCAUGACUGCUUACGAUAUUACAAGAAUGGGGCGUUGCGCCCCGGAUUCAAGUGCACUUAAAUCUUACAUUAGAAUCCUCUCACGUCAGCUGUUGUCACUCAGAUCUUAAGCCUAUAAGUAGUUUCUUUGUACCUGCCAUAUGCUGCCCUUUUUUGUUGACAAUUGUUUUCAGCUUUUCAGUGCGUCCUACCCAUAUUUGGAUAGUUGGAUGUUCAAUUAUAAAGUCGGUAUUUCGUUACGACAAGGAAUCAGCUGAGGGUUCUCAACUUGUAAUGCAGCGUCAUAAUGCGACCAUACUGUGUCAGAGUCAGGAUGGUAUGAAAUGGCGGCAAGUUAAACCAUUAAUCUUACACUUGUUUCUUUUUGAAGACAAUCAAGGUAUCAUUGUUAUUCAUUGAGUAAUUAACUUAUUUUUCAUAAGAGAGAGCUAGAGAACGCGUUAAUAAUUUCGCUGCUCAUUUGUUUGUUGUUUGUUUUUUAAAUACAUUGGUGGAUACGUUCGUUAACCAGAAAUCGUCGAAUCCGUGACGGGUCUCUUCAACAGGGAUGGGGUGCACUUGUCAUAAUUUGGAAAUAUUUUGUUUUUAUUCACUCUGCAAAACAAGUGUCAGUCCUUUUUAGCAGAAAAUUGUUAAGGCACAGCUUCUCAGGCAGGGUUUGCUUCGCUAUACUGGUGGCGGUUGUCAAGAAUUUUCCACGUUGUUCCAAAUUCUCGACAUGUGGCGGUUAGGUCAGCCUCCACCAGUAUAUCUUAACGUUGUGUAAUAAGAAGUUUGUUUGUUUCAAGUAUACUGUAUUAGGCCUCUGUUCACAGGGCCUCCACAUCUGCAGUUUAAACAUAUACUUUAUAUCAUAUGUAUUUGUAUAUUGACAUUUAUGUGAAGCUGUGACCAAUUUCUGCCAACCAUUAAUUUAAACGAAAUUAGAUACUAAUUGCUUGCUAUAGUAAAAUUAUUGAUAGUAAAAGUAAUGUAUUCAUACAACUGUCUUGGGUUGUUCUUUUUAGUAUUAUUAUUUCUGUGCCAAGCUAUCUUCAGUAAUGUGUUUUUAAUGAUUACCAUUCAAAACCUGUUACUGAAGGAGCUCUUAUCCUGUUGUAAGGGCCCGCGUUAGCUUAUGUCUUGUUGGUAUAUUAAUAUACUUGUUGCGAUUUAAUCUCCUUUUGGGUCCUUUCAGUUUUGCACAUGGAAGAAGAAGGUCGUUUGCAAAUAGAUGCGAGGGUUGAGUUUGCUUCUUAUCGAAGGAAUCCUCGAUUGUUUAUACUUGCUGAUGUUUAAUAUCCCACCCUCCACUCCCCUUAUUUUGCUUGUGUUCUCCUUUUUCUUUAUAAUUUCAGGUACAUCGUAUGUGUUCAAGUUCAGCCUACACCUUCCUUCCCUUCAGUCGUUACAGCUUCACAUGGAAUAUUGGAAGUUUUCACAUGUUGAUGUAUGGACAUGACAGUGUCUGUUUUCCAGAACUGUGAAAUGUGUAUGUGUCAUAUAUAAACGUUUAACGUAGUCACUGAUUCUGUAUGUCUGUUUUUUGUAUACCUGAUCUCCGUUGAAUUCUGAUCCCAGGUUCGGCGGUUAGGUCAGCCUCCACCAGUAUAUCUUAACGUUGUGUAAUAAGAAGUUUGUUUGUUUCAAGUAUACUGUAUUAGGCCUCUGUUCACAGGGCCUCCACAUCUGCAUUUUAAACAUAUACUUUAUAUCAUAUGUAUUUGUAUAUUGACAUUUAUGUGAAGCUGUGACCAAUUUCUGCCAACCAUUAAUUUAAACGAAAUUAGAUACUAAUUGCUUGCUAUAGUAAAAUUAUUGAUAGUAAAAGUAAUGUAUUCAUCAAA